UUGGAAACGGUGGCUAAUACCGGAUGUGCCGGGAGGUGAAAGAUUAAUUGCCUGAAGAUGAGCUCGCGUCUGAUUAGCUAGUUGGUGUGGUAAGAGCGCACCAAGGCGACGAUCAGUAGCUGGUCUGAGAGGAUGACCAGCCACACUGGGACUGAGACACGGCCCAGACUCCUACGGGAGGCAGCAGUGGGGAAUUUUCCGCAAUGGGCGAAAGCCUGACGGAGCAAUACCGCGUGAGGGAGGAAGGCUCUUGGGUCGUAAACCUCUUUUCUCAAGGAAUAAGAAAGUGAAGGUACUUGAGGAAUAAGCAUCGGCUAACUCCGUGCCAGCAGCCGCGGUAAUACGGAGGAUGCAAGCGUUAUCCGGAAUGAUUGGGCGUAAAGGGUCCGCAGGUGGCAUUGUGUGUCUGCUGUUAAAGAGUUUGGCUUAACCAGAUAAAAGCAGUGGAAACUACAAAGCUAGAGUGCGUUCGGGGCAGAAGGAAUUCCUGGUGUAGCGGUGAAAUGCGUAGAGAUCAGGAAGAACAC
rnacentral:rRNA from 1 species